UACAGAGGUCUCAAGCGUUUGUUCGGAUUCAUUGGGCGUAAAGGGUGCGCAGGCGGCGGGGCAAGUCGGACGUGAAAUCUCGGGGCUUAACCCCGAACUGCGUUCGAUACUGCCCUGCUUGAGUUUGGGAGAGGAGAGUGGAAUUCCCGGUGUAGCGGUGAAAUGCGCAGAUAUCGGGAAGAACACCCGUGGCGAAGGCGGCUCUCUGGGACGGUACUGACGCUGAGACGCGAAAGCGUGGGGAGCGAACAGG
rnacentral:rRNA from 1 species